rnacentral:rRNA from 1 species
CCAGAGAACUUUCCAGAGAUGGAUUGGUGCCUUUCGGGAACUCUGAGACAGGUGCUGCAUGGCUGUCGUCAGCUCGUGUUGUGAAAUGUUGGGUUAAGUCCCGCAACGAGCGCAACCCUUAUCCUUUGUUGCCAGCGGUCCGGCCGGGAACUCAAAGGAGACUGCCAGUGAUAAACUGGAGGAAGGUGGGGAUGACGUCAAGUCAUCAUGGCCCUUACGAGUAGGGCUACACACGUGCUACAAUGGCGCAUACAAAGAGAAGCGACCUCGCGAGAGCAAGCGGACCUCAUAAAGUGCGUCGUAGUCCGGAUUGGAGUCUGCAACUCGACUCCAUGAAGUCGGAAUCGCUAGUAAUCGUAGAUCAGAAUGCUACGGUGAAUACGUUCCCGGGCCUUGUACACACCGCCCGUCACACCAUGGGAGUGGGUUGCAAAAGAAGUAGGUAGCUUAACCUUCGGGAGGGCGCUUACCACUUUGUGAUUCAUGACUGGGGUGAAGUCGUAACAAGGUAGGCGUAGUGCU